rnacentral:rRNA from 1 species
UACGAAGGGGGCUAGCGUUGCUCGGAAUCACUGGGCGUAAAGCGCACGUAGGCGGCUUUCUAAGUCAGGGGUGAAAUCCCAGAGCUCAACUCUGGAACUGCCUUUGAUACUGUCGAUCUGGAGUAUGGAAGAGGUGAGUGGAAUUCCGAGUGUAGAGGUGAAAUUCGUAGAUAUUCGGAGGAACACCAGUGGCGAAGGCGGCUCACUGGUCCAUUACUGACGCUGAGGUGCGAAAGCGUGGGGAGCAAACAGG